rnacentral:lncRNA from 1 species
UGCAGAUAUUGUCGAAUUAUACAGAAAUUCAAACCCCCCAGAAAUGGUAAAACUAUGACUGGACCGAUUGAGAAAUUGUUGUUGAAUUUAUCGUUGAAAUACACAAACACAUAUGUAUUUUACCAUAUACAACAGUUAUUUAACAGUUUCGCAAACAGUGGUACGCUAUUGUGUUUGUGAGCGAAAAUUUUCACCGCCUAGCUGUGCACGCUUAAAAAUAGCACACUGAUCGUAGUAACAAUUCAAAAAACUGAUCAAAAUAUUUCCGUAUUUCAAAGUAUUUCUACUAAAAUAAUAUGAAACAACACAAUUGUUAUUUUGUUCUAAACAUUUUCGUUCGAUAUGGGUGGAAAUUUGAUGAAAAUAGAAAUAUAUUUUACUACCGUUCAAACCAUGAAGUUGCAUAGAAUUGUUUUAGAGUGCCUUUUGUUUUGUUUGUUGUGAAUUGAAAAAUGAAAAUUGUGUGGAAACAAGAAUCGUUAUUCUAGCACUUUAAAGCUUCUUCCCGUUGUUAGGAGGGUAACAUCCGAAUCCCAAGUGGCCUGUUUUACAUCCGGAAUUCAUUGAGUGGGUUGUUGCAGUAAUCCAAAAAUGGAACCAUCAAACCCGGAUGUCCCCGCACUGAGACAGCAAGAAAUUAGAACGGCCAAAGCGGUAAUGGAUAAACCGAAAAAGGAAUUACGUGUACGGCAACAUAUCGAAAAUAUCGAAAUUUCCAGUAUAUUAUGGUAAUGUAAAUAAAUAUGCAUAAAAAUUA